rnacentral:rRNA from 1 species
GCUUAGAGAGGGGUCAAUGUCCUAUCAGCUAGUUGGUAGGGUAAUGGCCUACCAAGGCUAAGACGGGUAGCCGGCCUGAGAGGGUGGUCGGCCACACUGGGACUGAGACACUGCCCAGACUCCUACGGGAGGCUGCAGUCGAGAAUCUUUCGCAAUGCCCGAAAGGGUGACGAAGCGACGCCGCGUGUGGGAAGAAGGCCUUCGGGUUGUAAACCACUGUCGGGAGUUAAGAAAUGCAAGGGUGUUAAUAGCAUCCUUGCUUGACUAAGGCUCCGGAGGAAGCCACGGCUAACUCUGUGCCAGCAGCCGCGGUAAUACAGAGGCGGCAAGCGUUGCUCGGAAUUAUUGGGCGUAAAGAGCACGUAGGCGGCUUUGUAAGUCAGUUGUGAAAGCCUUCUGCUCAACGGAAGAACAGCAUCUGAUACUGCAAGGCUAGAGUGCGGAAGGG